GGGGGUGUACCGGUUUCGACGGGGUCGCGCUCCUUUGGAAAGCGGGUGGAGGAUUCUCGUUGGCCUCCUUAAAAAACGGGAAACGCAAGUAAUUGCAAACGAUACACAGCUUGUAGCAGCUUAAUUUAGCUACCGUCUCGUUUCCUGAUCUGCAGGGAAACAGGAGACGCUGCCUGCAGACCUUACCUGCUGGAGGUUAAACAGGGACACUUUCGCCUGAAAGCUUUGACAGGUGAUCGUAUCUAUGAAGCUACCGGACCUGUCGCCUGUCAGCGGGCAAUACAGGAAGGGGAAUACUUCAUCCACUGACUGCACCCGGAGACGUCCUUAGGAAAACGGUUUCGGACAGGGGUUCAAUUCCCCUCACCUCCACCA
rnacentral:tmRNA from 1 species